CUACGGGGGGCUCCAGUGGGGAAUAUUGCACAAUGGGCGCAAGCCUGAUGCAGCAACGCCGCGUGAGGGAUGAAGGCCUUCGGGUUGUAAACCUCUUUUAGCAGGGAAGAAGCGAAAGUGACGGUACCUGCAGAAAAAGCACCGGCUAACUACGUGCCAGCAGCCGCGGUAAUACGUAGGGUGCAAGCGUCGUCCGGAAUUAUUGGGCGUAAAGAGCUCGUAGGCGGUUUGUCACGUCUGCUGUGAAAAUCCAAGGCUCAACCUUGGACUUGCAGUGGGUACGGGCAGGCUAGAGUGCGGUAGGGGAGAUGGGAAUUCCUGGUGUAGCGGUGGAAUGCGCAGAUAUCAGGAGGAACACCAAUGGCGAAGGCACAUCUCUGGGCCGUAACUGACGCUGAGGAGCGAAAGCGCGGGGAGCGAACAGGAUUAGAUACCCUCGUAGUC
rnacentral:rRNA from 1 species